rnacentral:rRNA from 1 species
GACGAACGCUGGCGGCGUGCUUAACACAUGCCAGUCGAACGGAAAGGCCCUGCUUUUGUGGGGUGCUCGAGUGGCGAACGGGUGAGUAACACGUGAGUAACCUGCCCUUGACUUUGGGAUAACUUCAGGAAACUGGGGCUAAUACCGGAUAGGAGCUCCGGCUGCAUGGUGGGGGUUGGAAAGGUUCGGCGGUUGGGGAUGGACGCGCGGCUUAUCAGCUUGUUGGUGGGGUAGUGGCUUACCAAGGCUUUGACGGGUAGCCGGCCUGAGAGGGUGACCGGCCACAUUGGGACUGAGAUACGGCCCAGACUCCUACGGGAGGCAGCAGUGGGGAAUAUUGCACAAUGGGCGGAAGCCUGAUGCAGCAACGCCGCGUGCGGGAUGACGGCCUUCGGGUUGUAAACCGCUUUCGCCUGUGACGAAGCGUGAGUGACGGUAAUGGGUAAAGAAGCACCGGCUAACUACGUG